rnacentral:rRNA from 1 species
UACAGAGGGGGCAAGCGUUGUUCGGAAUUACUGGGCGUAAAGGGCGCGUAGGCGGCCUUCUAAGUCGAACGUGAAAUCCCCGGGCUCAACCCGGGAACUGCGUCCGAUACUGGGAGGCUUGAAUCCGGGAGAGGGAUGUGGAAUUCCAGGUGUAGCGGUGAGAUGCGUAGAUAUCUGGAGGAACACCGGUGGCGAAGGCGGCAUCCUGGACCGGCAUUGACGCUGAACAGCGAAAGCCAGGGGAGCAAACGGG